rnacentral:rRNA from 1 species
AUUGAACGCCGGCGGUAUGCCUUACACACGCAAGUCGAACGGCAGCACGGGUGCUUGCACCUGGUGGCGAGUGGCGAACGGGUGAGUAAUACAUCGGAACAUGUCCUGUAGUGGGGGAUAGCCCGGCGAAAGCCGGAUUAAUACCGCAUACGAUCUACGGAUGAAAGCGGGGGACCUUCGGGCCUCGCGCUAUAGGGUUGGCCGAUGGCUGAUUAGCUAGUUGGUGGGGUAAAGGCCUACCAAGGCGACGAUCAGUAGCUGGUCUGAGAGGACGACCAGCCACACUGGGACUGAGACACGGCCCAGACUCCUACGGGAGGCAGCAGUGAGGAAUUUUGGACAAUGGGCGAAAGCCUGAUCCAGCAAUGCCGCGUGUGUGAAGAAGGCCUUCGGGUUGUAAAGCACUUUUGUCCGGAAAGAAAUCCUUGGCCCUAAUACGGUCGGGGGAUGACGGUACCGGAAGAAUAAGCACCGGCUAACUACGUG